AAAACCUUGUGGAAAUAUCGAUGCUUUUAAGAUCGAAACAAGGAUGGAUAUGUUGGAGAGUUUCAUGAUUCAACGCAGUACAUCGGCUCCAGCAGGAGGAAGUAAAAGGAUGCACCUCUGAUGUACCAAUGAAUGCCGUAGCACGUCCAGACAGGGAAGUCCUGUGAUAUGUGCAAGUCGGUGCUCGAAGAUCAACUGUGCCGUCUCCGUCUGUACGCUCUUUGCAAAAAGAAAUAAAGAAGAAAGAAGAAAGAAGAAAGGAAGAUCAGUUGUAUGCCUCCUGACCCCUGUACAUGAUUCAUGCAGCGUCGCCUGCACUGAGCGGAGUAAGCACUGCUGCCAAAGUGAUGGUCCCGGGCUCCCGGCUUCCACUACUAACUUCUAAGGACAAUCCCAUGCAACUCCCCGGUCCUGGAGCGUUGUUAUAUUGUUGAACCAUGAAGGAUACAGAAUUGAUGACUGAAACCGAAACUUAGCAACUACUGUAUAUCGAUAUCGCCUUGCCUCAUCCAGUGAACCGACACUGAC
rnacentral:lncRNA from 1 species